UCACGUGAGGCGCGCCCCCUCCCCCCGGGCCCUGUGGUGGCACCGGGACAUGGCGACAUCACACCGGGACAUCGCCACACCGGCACAAUGCCACACCGGCACCCGUGUCCCCGGCGCUGCUGCCCGGCCGGCUGAGCAGCGCAGGGGCCCGGCCGGUGGGGCGCACCGCCAGCGGGUGGCAGUGUCCCGGAGCGAGUCCCGCUGAGGGCGACAAAGAUGAAGGGACCGGAGCAGUUCUUAACAAGGGCAGGCUGGGGGAGCUGGGCCUGGAGAAGGGAUCUCGUCAGUGUCUCCUUCAGUGGAUUCCCGAAAAUUCCAAAUCUGAUUGCCCAAGAAUCCCUGUUGUCUGCUUUUAAGACUCCAGCCUGUAUAGUUUAAAGAGAAGCUUGAUGACACCAACUCAAAGUCUCAAAAAGACAGAAGCAGUUGACAAAAAGAAUACCAAGUCUGUUAAUUUCUGUGGUUGCGUUUCUUAAACUUUGCUGCUCUGCUGGCAGGACUGGCAUCACUCACUCUACACAAAGCAGUGCAAAUAGAAAACACUUGGUGGAAAUCCUGUCUCUGCUUACCAAUUUGAAUUAAUAUAUCAGCCAGGAUGUUCACUGCAAACAGCAGAGCAGGCAGACAUUCUGUAGCUGCUGAUCUUAUUGGCUACCCAGGUUUCUGCAGAUAGGGCCUUAUGCCUGAAAUUUUCUUUGUGUAGAUUUAAGUACCUGAGUACCACUGAAGACAAUGUGACAUCUCCCCUUGUAACAUUAAGAAUAGGUAUAAGUAUUGCAGUGUCAGGGCCUGGCAGUGCGGUUAAUUUCAGUUAUCUGGUAAGAGCUAACUCAAAGUUGUUUACUGACUAAAGAAUGAAGAAGUUUAGAGUGGCAUUCUUCACUCUUUGUACUGCUAUGAAUGCUCUGUAUUUGCUCAGGACUUCAGAGCAGUUUCUUUGCAUACAGAGGAAAGUAUGUGAACAGCUAUCUAGCAAGAAGAAAAGAAAUUGAAAUACCUGGGGGAAAAAUCCCAGGCAGAAAGGAAAAAGGAACAAACCAGAAAUUCUUCUUUCAUCUGCUGUGCUAAUACAUAAGCAUCAACCUAACAAUGAACCAGUGUUGCAACACAGCAAGGGUGCUGCAGAAAUACUGAAAUACACAUUGUAAGUGCAAAUACCUUUAAAGUAAAAUGAAAUAAAAGUUUACAAGUUCUAAUCAUGUGACUGUUUCCAUUUACUACAUAAUUUUCUUAGCCUCUAUAAUCUGGUGGACGCAGUAGUUGUCUCAAGAUUCAUGGAUUUUCUGCCAUGCUUCAA